rnacentral:rRNA from 1 species
GACGAACGCUGGCGGUGUGCUUAACACAUGCAAGUCGAACGGUAAGGCCCUUUUGGGGGUACACGAGUGGCGAACGGGUGAGUAACACGUGGGCAACCUGCCUGUAAGACUGGGAUAACUUCGGGAGACCGAAGCUAAUACCGGAUAGGAUCUUCUCCCUCAUGGGAGAUGAUUGAAAGAUGGUUUCGGCUAUCACUUACAGAUGGACCCGCGGCGCAUUAGCUAGUUGGUGAGGUAACGGCUCACCAAGGCAACGAUGCGUAGCCGACCUGAGAGGGUGAUCGGCCACACUGGGACUGAGACACGGCCCAGACUCCUACGGGAGGCAGCAGUAGGGAAUCUUCCGCAAUGGACGAAAGUCUGACGGAGCAACGCCGCGUGAGCGAAGAAGGCCUUCGGGUCGUAAAGCUCUGUUGUUAGGGAAGAACAAGUACGAGAGUAACUGCUCGUACCUUGACGGUACCUAACCAGAAAGCCACGGCUAACUACGUGCCAGCCGCCGCAGUAAUAC